CCUACGGGAGGCAGCAGUGAGGAAUAUUGGUCAAUGGUCGCGAGACUGAACCAGCCAAGUAGCGUGAAGGAUGACUGCCCUACGGGUUGUAAACUUCUUUUAUGUGGGGAUAAAACGUUCCACGUGUGGGGUUUUGUAUGUACCGUAUGAAUAAGGAUCGGCUAACUCCGUGCCAGCAGCCGCGGUAAUACGGAGGAUCCGGGCGUUAUCCGGAUUUAUUGGGUUUAAAGGGAGCGUAGGUGGAUUGUUAAGUCAGUUGUGAAAGUUUGCGGCUCAACCGUAACAUUGCAGUUCAAACUGGCAGUCUUGAGUACAGUAGAGGUGGGCGGAAUUCGUGGUGUAGCGGUGAAAUGCUUAGAUAUCACGAAGAACUCCGAUUGCGAAGGCAGUUUACGGGACUGCAACUGACACUGAGGCUCGAAAGUGUGGGUAUCAAACAGGAUUAGAUACCCGUGUAGUC
rnacentral:rRNA from 1 species